rnacentral:lncRNA from 1 species
UCUUCCUAAAAAAAAAUAAUAGAUAAUUUAACAAAUCUAAAAUACCACCAUACUUUCAUAAUGGGAAUUUAAGGUUUUGUUUUCCAGAACCUCUAAAAAUUUAAUGCACUGGUGUCUGUACCCCCGGAGAGAACAAAAGCAUUAGCAGUGACCGCAGGGGGCGACCCCCCUCAAAACAGUGACUUUCCCUCUCCUCUGAUAUGAUCGAUGGGAGGCUCUGCCUCUGAGACCAUCCCAUAUUUUCUGGAUGGGGCUCUUUACCUCUGUUUUUAAAAGACGCAAAUCAGCAAGGCCUUGCGAGUGAAGAAUUCUGAAAGUGCCUGGCUGAAGAAGGGCAGGAAGCUGACAAGUCAGUUUCACAGAAGAGAUCACCUUUCUGGGUUCGAAGUUACUAAAAUGACACCAUGUUGGAGCAAACGGCCCUUCAGCAAGGCAACCACAUGAUGCUGCUCAUACUCCAAUUCGUCUAAGUCCCUUUAAAAUGGGAUCCAGAAACUGGACAGCGGGCUGCAAGGGUCUUUCUCAUUUUACCACCGUCCAAACGUCAAGCCCAUUAGUUCUUCUCUCUCCGCCAUCCUUGUUACCCGCGGUUACAAGGACAAGCUGCAGCUGUUCAGUAAGCUUAACUGGUGGUGAUAAAGUGUUGUAGCAGGCAAAUGUCUGACACAUCUGUUCAGCAAGUCCAUAACCCUACAGCUGAGUUUACGAAACUAUAGAUUCAAGUAACUUUAAAGUGAAUUUGAAUUCACUCUGUAAAAACCGACUUAGAUAACUCAAACGGGAGAGCUUUCUGGAUCACGCCGCCCAUGGAGCUCGGGGAGCUGACCAGAGAUUUGCAUCUGGGAUGUAAGGAUUUCAAAUCUAGAGGUUUAAACCACCAUGGAUUAUACUAGCCAUCUGUGUGGUUCGGAAUAACGCAAUCUGGCGAACCCAACCCCUUUCUAACUCCAUAUUCCAAGUAGUUGAAUGUACACUGGAGAUGUGAUUUGAGCUCUUUUUCCCCUCACAUUUUCUAACUAUGUUUUUAUCUGCAGUAGACAACUAGGUCAGAAGAGAGGGACUCAGCUGUUAUUAUAAAGGUCCCAGAUAGAGUUUCAGCAUCACAAAAAUGCCAAGUAAGGAAGUCUCUUCUAUAGUUAAGCAAGAAGCAGUUCAACAGAGGAUAGCUCUGUUUAAACAAGCAUUCAUAUAUUAUAGGUACG